rnacentral:tRNA from 1 species
UGCCUGGGGGCGUUGGCAAAUGACUGUUAAUCAUUGGGUCCCUGGUUCGAGUCCAGGUCGUGGAGCCA